GGCGACGUAGCUCAGAGGCAGAGCAGGGCUCUCAUAAGGCCCGUGUCGGUGGUUCGAUUCCACCCGUCGCCACCA
rnacentral:tRNA from 1 species